ACGAAGGAUGCAAGCGUUAUCCGGAUUCAUUGGGUUUAAAGGGAGCGUAGGUGGCCUUAUAAGUCAGUGGUGAAAUCUCUGGGCUUAACCCAGAAAUUGCCAUUGAUACUGUAGGGCUUGAGUACAGUUGCUGUGGGCGGAAUAUGACAUGUAGUGGUGAAAUACAUAGAGAUGUCAUAGAACACCGAUUGCGAAGGCAGCUCACAAAACUGUAACUGACACUGAGGCUCGAAAGUGCGGGGAUCAAACAGG
rnacentral:rRNA from 1 species